CAGCAGAUGAAAUUGCAGCAGAAGAAUUUUGGAAGGUGAAGAAGAAUCAAGACAGACUCAGGCUCUCUGAGUGUCUGGCUUCUGGGUGGUGUUGUGGUGAGCAAUUGGAUAUGAAGCUCUGAGAUUCCAGCGAGAGGUCUGGGACAUUGUAAUUUGGAGAAUCACUGGGGUGCCAGAGGCCAUGUGCUCUAGAGGCCAUGGGCAUGGAUGAGACCAGCCAUGGGGAGAAGAGACUGAAACAAGAAUAGAAAUGAAAGUGAUCCCAUGGAAUACUACCCAGCCACAAAAAAGAAUGAAUACUACACAGCCACAAAAAAGAAUGAAAUCAUGUCCUUUACAGAAACAGGGAUACAAAUCCAGCAUGGAUGCAAUUUGCAUAUCCAAGUAAACGAAUGCAGAAACAGAAAAUUUAACAACACAUGUCCUCACUUGUAAGUGAGACCUAAACACAGGGUGUGCAUGGACACAAGGAUGGGAAAAAUAGACGCCUGAGAUUCCAAAGGGAGAGGAAGAAAGGAGAGUAAGGGCUGAACAACUACCUAUUGGGUACUUACGUUCACUAUCUGGGUGAUAAGUUCAAUUGGACCUCAAACCUCAGCAUCACACAAUACACCCUUGUAACAAACCUGCAUGUGUAGCCUCUGAAUAGAAAAUGAAAUGUAAAAAAAAUUAUUAACAAAUGAAAUAAAAUGUGUAACAGUAAAUGUUCUUUAACAAGAAAAGCAAUAUCCCUAUUUAAGUUCUGGUUUUUUGUUUUGUGUUUCUUUGUUUUCUGUUUUUGAGACAGAGUCUCACUCUGUCACCCAGGUGGGAUUACAGUGGCGUGAUCUUGGCUCACUGCAACCUUCGCCUGGCGGAUUUGAGAGAUUCUCCUGUCUCAGCCUCUGGAGUAGCUGGGAUUACAGACACGCACAUACUGGCUAGCAAUAC
rnacentral:lncRNA from 10 species